CCUACGGGAGGCAGCAGUGGGGAAUAUUGGGCAAUGGGCGCAAGCCUGACCCAGCAACGCCGCGUGAAGGAAGAAGGCUUUCGGGUUGUAAACUUCUUUUGUCAGGGACGAAGCAAGUGACGGUACCUGACGAAUAAGCCACGGCUAACUACGGGCCAGCAGCCGCGGUAAUACGUAGGUGGCAAGCGUUAUCCGGAUUUACUGGGUGUAAAGGGCGUGUAGGCGGGGAAGCAAGUCAGAUGUGAAAACCACGGGCUCAACCUGUGGCCUGCAUUUGAAACUGUUUUUCUUGAGUGCUGGGGAGGCAAUCGGAAUUCCGUGUGUAGCGGUGAAAUGCGUAGAUAUACGGAGGAACACCAGUGGCGAAGGCGGAUUGCUGGACAGUAACUGACGCUGAGGCGCGAAAGCGUGGGGAGCAAACAGGAUUAGAUACCCCAGUAGUC
rnacentral:rRNA from 1 species